UACAGAGGGGGCAAGCGUUGUUCGGAAUUACUGGGCGUAAAGGGCGCGUAGGCGGCCUUCUAAGUCGAACGUGAAAUCCCCGGGCUCAACCCGGGAACUGCGUCCGAUACUGGAAGGCUUGAAUCCGGGAGAGGGAUGUGGAAUUCCAGGUGUAGCGGUGAAAUGCGUAGGAUAUCGGGAGGAACACCUGUGGCGAAAGCGGACUCUCUGGACCACAACUGACGCUGAGGCGCGAAAGCUAGGGAGCAACGGGA
rnacentral:rRNA from 1 species